rnacentral:misc_RNA from 1 species
GAACGCACAUUGCGCCCCUUGGUAUUCCAUGGGGCAUGCCUGUUCGAGCGUCAUUUGUACUCUCAAGCUCUGCUUGGUGUUGGGUGUUUGUCCACUCCCGCGUGUUUGGACUCGCCUUAAAACAAUUGGCAGCCAGUGUUUUGGUAUGGAAGCGCAGCACAAUUUGCGAUUCUAGCCCACGAAUACUAGCAACCAUCAAGCCCAUUUUUAACGCUUGACCUCGGAUCAGGUAGGGAUACCCGCUGAACUUAAG